AUUUUAUGUUAUCUAAAAGGAACUUCUGGACUUAGUGUACUCUACAGUGAUAUGGGCGUACUACCAUUGAGUGCUUUUCGGAUGCUGAUUGGGCGUACUCUAGAGGUUAUUGUGUAUUUGUUGGAGGAAACCUUGUAUCUUGAAAAAGUAAGAAGCAGAAUGUGGUAUUUAGAUCCAAUGCCGAGUCCGAAUACAGGGUCAUGACUUAAUCCACUUAUGAGAUCAUCUGUUGAAAGAAGUUGGUAUGGAUCUUGCAUCACCCGCAAAACUUUGGUGUGAUAAUCAGCUUGUUCUUCACAUCGCCUCUAAUCCAGUAUAUUAUGAACGGACUAAGUACAUUGAAAUUGACUGCCAUUUUAUCCAUGAGAAAAUUAAAGAAAAUCUAAUUUCUAUCGGUUAUGUGAAAACAUGAGAGCAAAGUUAUAUGAAAGCAGGAGAGCAACUGGGUGAUAUACUCGCUAAGGCAUUGAAUGAGCCUAGAAUAGAAUAUUUUUAUAAUAAGUUGAUAUGAUAAAUAUCUAUGCUCCGGCUUGAGGGGAGUGUUAUAGUGGGAAUACAAUCUGUAUUAAUUAGAGUAGAUUGCACAAUUAUGGGACUAAUUGAUUGAUAGAGAACGUUUAGGAAAAUAAUUAGUUUCCUUAAUAAGACAUUGUAAUCUGUAUAUAAACACUCUUACUUAGUAAAGAAAAUACACAAUUCCCUUUUACCAUUUUGUUCUAUUACAUUCCUUAAAUAUUUUUAAAUGCUUUUAACAUUUGCCAAAUACUUAGCAUGGCUACUCAACUGAAUUGAUUUCUUUGAAGUCCUAACUGUUUAGCUACAUUAAGAAUAAUGACAUGCAGUAUGCUGAAUUUUCACCCUAAGCCAAAGGUGAUGUUUUAAUGCAGUUUUUUACAGCUUACACUUGUGAAAAGGGCAUUGGGGAUGAGAAAGCCUAGUUGUGUUCUUGGGAAAUAUUUUGUAAAAUGUAUUUCAUAAGAAAUACACUCGUUUCUCCCCUUGCAGAUAUCUGAACAACCUGAAUGCAUGUUUUCAUGUGAUAAGGCAGGGUGGGCUUGGGGUUGGAACAAAUGAUAAAUUCCAGACAGCAGUGGGGAGCCACUAUUGGAAGUUGAACAAAUUUCAGUUUUGUUACUGACAAAUAGUGGAGUCAUUAAAGUAUAUCAAAAGCUAAAGGAGCCCUGAUCCAGCCCCAACCAAGAUUAAGUGAAGGUGUCGCAAUGGCCGUCAAUCUCCUGUAUUCCAUUCCUAGAACAGUAGGGUUGAGGUGAGGUGAGUGCCUGAAAUAUUUAAUUAAGUGACCAUCUUUACCUUAUAGUAGCCCUUGUUGGAGUAGAUGCAUUUUGCUAGAAAUGGUACCCUGAAAUGUAUUCUGAAACUGAGGGAGCUCUGGAUUUCAUUUUGCUCAAAUUAGGCCUGAAAUGCUUUCUAUAAACUUAGUUAACCACCUUUUCAAAGCUGCUUCUCUAUUGUAAUGAUAUUCCAGGUAUUGGCUAUCAUGUUUAGGUGCUUCCUCUUGCAUAGACAGAAGUCUAAACUAGCAUGCUGAACUCUUUUUUUUUUUU